CCUUCUUCUCGUUUGCCUUUUUCUGCUUCUGCUGCAUGAUCUCCUGAGUCCCUGGGGGUAGAGAUGAUAGGGCACUAGGAGGUAUCAGAGGGCAAAAAGAAC
rfam:Pongo abelii chromosome 7.